CUAGAGUUUGAUCCUGGCUCAGGACGAACGCUGGCGGCGUGCUUAACACAUGCAAGUCGAACGGAAAGUGCCCAGCUUGCUGGGUGACUAGAGUGGCAAACGGGUGAAGUACACGUGGGGUGACCUGCNCUGCGGAGGACGGUAGGGGGCGAAGAGCGACGCAACAUAGCGAGGGAGAUCCUGGCGUGUUUGUGUGGACGAGAGCCCGCACCGGCGCGAGAGCGACCGAGGGGGAUUCUUGCGGGCAGAAGCAGGCAAUGUGAUGGGAGGUGAGGAGACGGGGGCUCUGUGGCGAGGUGAGUGGGACAGAAGAGCGGUGGUGGGGAGGUGGGGGGGAAGGGGUGCAGCGCGUGGUGGUGGGGGGAAGACGAUAUGUGACUAGCCCGGGGCCAGAGGGUUG
rnacentral:rRNA from 1 species